AUUGAACGCUGGCGGAGUGCUUUACACAUGCAAGUCGAACGGCAGCACGGACUUCGGUCUGGUGGCGAGUGGCGAACGGGUGAGUAAUGUAUCGGAACGCGCCCAGUCGUGGGGGAUAACGUAGUGAAAAUUACGCUAAUACCGCAUACGAUCUAUGGAUGAAAGCGGGGGAUCGCAAGACCUCGCGCGAUUGGAGCGGCCGAUAACAGAUUAGGUAGUUGGUGGGGUAAAGGCCCACCAAGCCAACGAUCUGUAGCUGGUCUGAGAGGACGAGCAGCCACACUGGAACUGAGACACGGUCCAGACUCCUACGGGAGGCAGCAGUGGGGAAUUUUGGACAAUGGGCGAAAGCCUGAUCCAGCCAUUCCGCGUGCAGGAUGAAGGCCCUCGGGUUGUAAACUGCUUUUGUACAGAACGAAAAGGUUUCUACUAAUACUAGGGGCUCAUGACGGUACUGUAAGAAUAAGCACCGGCUAACUACGUGCCAGCCGCCGCAGUAA
rnacentral:rRNA from 1 species